GCAAUGUUGCUCCCUCUCAACUUCUUUCAUUCUUUAAAGCUCAGGUUGAUUAAAUUUUGGGAGACAACCCCAGAGCUACAAGCUACAUGGUUGGGUAGGGAAACAACUACCCUCGUCAAGUUCACCACAGGGAUUCUUCCAUUGUUUCAUAGAAGGUCAAUCCUAAAUUUGUUGCUUGCCGAGAGGGUUAUGCCACUUGGUUUUGCCGCAAAGGCUUGGCUGCACCUGCAAACUGCGCAUUUCAGACUCAUGUAAUAUUAUGUAUAUCGACCAUAAAUGUUAAAUGUUACAAAUAGAUUUUUGACUCAUUAGAAAUUACAUGAGCUUUGAUCAUGUUAUUGUUUACUUGGAAUACAUGUAUUGAAUAUUUUGAUAAUAUACAAAAUAUAUUAGAUUGU